rnacentral:rRNA from 1 species
AUUGAACGCUGGCGGCAGGCCUAACACAUGCAAGUCGAACGAGUGGCGGACGGGUGAGUAAUGUCUGGGAAACUGCCUGAUGGAGGGGGAUAACCACUGGAAACGGUAUCUAAUACCGCAUACCAUAGUUUGUGCCCAGAUGGGAUUAGCUAGUAGGUGGGGUAAAGGCUAACCUAGGCGACGAUCCCUAGCUGGUCUGAGAGGAUGACCAGCCACACUGGAACGGAGACACGGUCCAGACUCCUACGGGAGGCAGCAGGGGGGAAGAUUGCACAAUGGGCGCAAGCCGGAGGCAGCCAUGCCGCGUGUAUGAAGAAGGCCUUCGGGUUGUAAAGUACUUUCAGCGGGGAGGCGUUACCCGCAGAAGAAGCACCGGCUAACUCCGUGCCAGCAGCCGCGGUAAUAC